rnacentral:rRNA from 1 species
UACGUAAGGGGCAAGCGUUGUCCGGAAUCACUGGGCGUAAAGCGCACGUAGGCGGUUUAGCAAGUUAGGGGUGCAAGCUCCAGGCUUAACCUGGAAACUGCCUCUAAAACUACUUCACUUGAGUAUUAGAGGGGAAGCUGGAAUUCACGGUGUAGCGGUGAAAUGCGUAGAUAUCUGGAGGAAUACCGGUGGCGAAGGCGGCAUCCUGGACCGGCAUUGACGCUGAGGAGCGAAAGCCAGGGGAGCAAACGGG